CACAGGUAUUCGGAACUUGCGGGUCGGAGGUCGGUGACAAGACCGUGGCCAAAGUGCGCAGAGUCCAGAGCCGGGGCCGGACAGUUUGCCGGAGAGGGAACAAGGGCGCCGCCAUAGCUCGCCUCCAGAGGCAGGGACGUGAUUUGAAACAAGCUUUCCUAUGGCUAUGCUAUCACCAUCAUCAGUCGCAUUUUUAUAGCGUCUUCAUACGUACUGAACCCUGGAACUCGGGACAUCGGGACUUGCUAUUGUCUAAACUUUGGUGUGCUGGACUCUUUUGGAACGCAGGCCCCCUAAUUCUGUGUGCAGAGUUCUUUGCGAUGUCUAUGUGUACAUAUGUGUACAUAUUUAUACAUGAAUGUAUAUUGGUAUAAGGGGGAGCUCUGGGGCUGGAGUCAGAGAGAGGAGAAAGAAACCGCGGGAAGGAGGAAGAGAUGAGGGAGAAGUGUGUGUGUGUGUGGGGUGGAGGAGGACAGAGAGAAAAGAAAGAGGGAGAGAGCAAGAGACUAGGAGAAGAGAAAGAGGGAGGAGGAGGAAAAGAGCAAGAGGAGGAGGGGGGAGGACUUAGACAAGGAGAGGGAAGGGGACAAAAAGAGGGAGCAUGGGAGAGAGUAAGAAGAGUAUUGAGGAAGAGAGAGGAGAAGCCAGUCAAGGUGCUUGUGCUGAGUGUAGCAAAAACAAAAAAUAAGGAUAAGGAACAGAAAGAGGAAAAUAGAAAUCAAAUGUUUUGAGAAAUUGGAUUUAAAAUGGUUAAAAAUUAAAAGUGGGUGGUGGGAUGGGUGAUAAUUAUUAGCCAAAAAAGUAAUAGACAGCAACAAAA